rnacentral:lncRNA from 1 species
CAGGUUUCUUGCAUUAUAUUAAUGGCAUAAAAUGUGUUUAAACAUAAUAAAAAAUAAUGUCACUUUUUAGAGUAUCUUAAUGGUCUUUAAAAUAGGCUUAAUUUUCUUAAUGCAGAAUAUAAGUCUUCGUACCUUUGGUUCAUUUCGGAGUGAGCUGAGUCAAACGUGUUCUUGACGGGAGUCGAGUGACUGAAUCUUUGACCCGCCGCUCUAAUGAAGCUGAAAGCUGCGGUGAAAUGGAGAAUCAGUGCGAAUCUCUCCAGAUCUGCUGAUGUUUCUGCAUCUUCAGCUGGAUGUCGUGACGGAUGGAGCGAAUCCGCUGCUCGAUCAUCGUGAAUCAUCGUAGGGUUCAUCUGUUCCCUGUUUGUUCCCUUCGGUUGUUUGUUGCUCGGCCUGUUCGUCUCUUUUCGUGGUGAUUUCUGCUUUUGUUUUUCAGGAACUGCAGAUGUACGAUGUUUCUCCGCUCGUCAUUCCCACAGCGAUAUCCCGUCUUUGGUUUCCAGUGCUGGCUUUCCUCUCGUCUGUGCUCUUGGCUGUUUUCUCUCAUGCUCUCGCUCUCCUGCUGCUCUUUCCUGUGGUGUUUUACGUUUUAUUGCACUUACUGACGAUGAGAAAUGAGAUCGUGACGGAGCCGUCGGUUUGUUUUCCUACCUGUUUGACUUUCACCGUUCGCUGUUUCAGUGUGGCUAAUCUGAUCUGCGGUCCCGGCAGAAACAUCGCUUCGAAUCGUGAUUCUGAAUUUUAUACAAGGCUCCAUCAGGAACAGCAAUGGCUUCUUGUGAUGACAGAUUGACGUUGAUUGACAGAUGAUGCUACCUGUGCAGGUGAGCGAGGUGAGAAUGAAGCUUCAUUCGGACACGUGUGAGAGCGCACACGCGUGUGCACCCGCAUCACACGCCUCCCCGGACAUGAACCCGAACCACCGCUUGACCUUGACCUCCUGCAACGGUUCGACUGAGCAAAUCUCACGACACACUUGCACGACGAGGACGAUCUCACGCCCGAGAUCCAGCAGGCCUACAGAAUAUUUCAGAGCUUCCUCUCAGAGAAGCAUAAGUGCAUCACCGCCCCGUUCUGGCCGGGGCCCACGCCGUGAUGUGCUUCAGAAAGAUGGACGAUAGGUUCGUCCACCGCCAGUACGAGUCCAUCACGGCGUUCGUGUCAGAUUUCAGACUGAUGCUAGAGAACCGUUACCGUCGAUCACUGGAUCUCCAAACAGGCCCAGAAACUGGAGAUCAUUCUAGAGCAAAAGCUGGCCUUGUUGUCCAGGUGAAAAGAAAAGCCAACGACGAGCUG